GACGAACGCUGGCGGCGUGCUUAACACACGCAAGUCGAACGGAAAGGCCCUGCUUUUGUGGGGUGCUCGAGUGGCGAACGGGUGAGUAACACGUGAGUAACCUGCCCUUGACUUUGGGAUAACUUCAGGAAACUGGGGCUAAUAUCGGAUAGGAGCCCCUGCUGCCUGGUGGGGGCUGGAAAGUUUCGGCGGUUGGGGAUGGACUCGCGGCCUAUCAGCUUGUUGGGGGGGUGGUGGCUUACCAGGGCUUUGACGGGUAGCCGGCCUGAGGGGGUGACCGGCCACAUUGGGACUGAGAUACGGCCCAGACUCCUACAGGAGGCAGCAGUGGGGAAUAUUGCACAAUGGGCGGAAGCCUGAUGCAGCAACGCCGCGUGCGGGAUGACGGCCUUCGGGUUGUAAACCGCUUUCGCCUGUGACGAAGCGUGAGUGACGGUAAUGGGUAAAGAAGCACCGGCUAACUACGUG
rnacentral:rRNA from 1 species